rnacentral:piRNA from 1 species
UCCGGGUUUUCCGUAAAUCAGAGCUGAAGGA